AACGAACGCUGGCGGCAUGCCUAACACAUGCAAGUCGAACGAGACCUUCGGGUCUAGUGGCGCACGGGUGCGUAACGCGUGGGAACCUGCCCUUAGGUUCGGAAUAACUCCCCGAAAGGGGUGCUAAUACCGGAUAAUGUCUUCGGACCAAAGAUUUAUCCCCUUUGGAUGGGCCCGCGUUGGAUUAGCUUGUUGGUAGGGUAAAAGCCUACCAAGGCUACGAUCCAUAGCUGGUCUGAGAGGAUGAUCAGCCACACUGGGACUGAGACACGGCCGAGAAUCCUACGGGAGGCAGCAGUGGGGAAUAUUGGACAAUGGGCGAAAGCCUGAUCCAGCAAUGCCGCGUGAGUGAUGAAGGCCUUAGGGUUGUAAAGCUCUUUUACCCGGGAUGAUAAUGACAGUACCGGGAGAAUAAGCACCGGCUAACUCCGUG
rnacentral:rRNA from 1 species